rnacentral:lncRNA from 1 species
AUGGACUUAAACAAGUCACAAGUUGGUGAAUUUGGAGGACCAAAUUUGACAGACUUAGCAUAAGAAUAAGAUAUCAGUUAUUGGGAUAAACUAUAAGUAUUUACCCUGGCUAAUAAAAGUUUAUCUUUAACGAAAAUAUUAAAAAAAAAAUAAACCAAUCCAUAAAACCCCAUAUAUAUAGACAAAAGCAUGACCACAUAGAAAGGCAACUUCAAUAUGAAUAAAGCACAUACCUUUACAUCAUUGAUUGCGCAUUCGUGGAGGCACAAUAUCCCCAAGUAACCCUUGAUCUUUAUGAGAAUCUUGAGAUGGUGGUUGAGCCAUCUUUUGAGAAAAAUGAUCUCCUGAUUCUUUCGACAGCACUUGUGGCUGGGGUUGCAGUGAACCAAUAGCGCGUACUUGAUCAUGGAACUGUGAUCUGGAACUAGAAUAGUUUACCGGGUUCAGGGCUAAGGAAUUGGGGGCCAAUUGUCUUGCAUAGACACCUUGAUCAUGGUGAGAUACUAGUCCUCUAGGGAACCCUAUCGAGUGAUGGCAGUGUUGCCCUUCAUAUGUUGUGAUUACAGUUGUAGGGUCUUCUGAUGAACGCUCAACGCGUUUCUUGACUGUGCAUUUGCUGUUUGUGCAACGGUAAUAGCUCCUUCAAAGAAUCAAAAAAAAAAAAUUUAAUUUGGAAUUUAAUUAAAACUAUUGAUUUAAAACAGCUUAUUUAACCACAAAGAAAUAAACAGAUCGAUAAGUAGUUUAGAUAAACAAUUCUUAAUCCUCAAAAGAAAUAACUCAUUCUUGUAUUAAGUUGUAAUAAGCCACUCGAAAAAAAAUAAAUAAAAAAACACAAUUAUUUAAAACAACCUUGAUUUCGGGUAACAACAUGCAUAUUUCUCUACCCUUCUUUGUACGUAAGGUAGCUCUUCUCAUUUUUUUUUUUUUUUUUUUUUGCAGCACCCCAUGCAUGUAUGUAUACUUAAAUAAUAAAAUCUGAGUGCACUAAUUUAAUGGAAGUUACAUAUAAAAACAAUAAUUAUAAAAA